UUUGCGUUUCACAAUCACGGAUAAGUGCUAUCUCUCUUUAACCAACAGUAGAUAGCUUCUUCCCUCCGAUUUAUCCGAGCCUCUUGAUACGUUUCGUUCUACUACAAAUACGAAACAACAUCAGGAUCAAGACUUAUUUUAUUUUAUUCUAAAUUAUAACUAUAAUUUAACCAGCAUAUUGUAGACUAUCAUAAACACAUUUGUUUAUAACAAAAAGUAAUAAAAACAUAUGUAGAUUUUUUUAAAUUGGACGUAUUGCUAUUUUUAUCCUAGUCGAAAUUAUGAAACGAAACGUUUUGACAGUCCGUUUGCCAAUAAGCAGUGAUCAGUUUCUUUUGUUUGUUUUUCUAUUGUUUACCUACUAUAUUAGAUGAUGACUUACCUCCAAAACGCUUUAAAACUUUCGUUUAUAAUUCUAAGUGUGUUUAUAAUUAAAGAGCUACAGUGAAAUAAAAUGAAUUCUUCAAGAAAGGCAGCACCCAUGACAAAAGAUGAGACGAUGAUUCUAGCAGAACUUGUGGCGGCGAAAAAACAACAACUGCCACAAACAAUAAAUUGAAGGAGCAGGCUUGGCAAACCCUUGUAAAUGAUUUUAAUUCGUCGAUUCGUCGUUUCCCACGAACUCCAUCGCAGCUUCGACUAAAAUGGGAAAACUUAAAGAACGCUACGGCAACAUAAGAAACAACCUUAGUAAGGCUGGAGGUGGUAAGGAUUGCAGAUGAAAUUUUGGAUAAAGCAUGCACAUUGUUGUAGGUCACAUAUAAUAUUUUUAACACUUUUACAGCCAAGCGGAAACAAGUUGGAAGAAAAGAAAUGCAAGGCUAGCAUAGGGACAAUGCAUUAGCAGAAUAUUUAAUAGCAAAAAAGAGACUUGACUUGGAAAAUAAAGAAAAGGAGAUUGUUGUAGCAAAAGUUAAGUUAGAUUUAGAUAAUUUAAAAAAUUAAAAAUUAAAUUUCAUUAAUUAAGUAGGCAAUAAUAUUAAUUAAUAAUAUUAAAUUUCAUUAAUUAAGUAGGCAAUAAUAAUUUUAUGUUAGAUAGUUUUUUAAGUAUAUGUACAAAUUCUAAAUUAAAUAUCUUGCAUGUACUAACUACCAUGUAAUUAUCAUUUUGGAAAAUAAAAAAUAGUCAAAUUA